CAUUGGGCUCCAAGAGCCAGAUUCAAAAAAAGUUGGAAGGAGGCCAUGUUCCCAGCUGCAUUCACAGUCAGUGAGGAUCCUGAGACCAAGGAGCUGCCUGUAAGCAGGAGGGCUGGUGGAUUAGGAUGAGGAAUGAUGUACAAGACCUGUCAUUAACAUUCUUCAUUUUGUAAUGAUGAAGGACCACAACUUCAAAGCCAAUCCCUGUCUGCAUGUCCAGGCCCUCUAAAAGCAGCAGCCACACCCUCAUCUUCCUCAUUUUUUUCCACUGACCAUGAAAUACAUUCUAAGCCAGGCACUGAAAAAAAAAAAAGAAAC